GCCUAUAUCCCCACGGGGCCGGAUGCCCUUCCAACCCAUGUCUAUGCGGAUCCUAUUGAGAUGACCAUGAAAGAGCUCAACGGGGUUGAUCGCUUCGUUGAUAUGGACAAAAGGUUUAUCUUCUUCUGGCUUGUGACAAGCUUUGUUGGUUUCUGUUGAUUGCAAUUGUCUGGUGCUUCGCAACUCCUAGGUAGUCUACUCUCGAGUCAUGGUUGCAGCGCCCAGUUCGACGAGGUGCAGUGCCCCAAGUGCCCAGGAUGGCCCCUCAACCUGCUCGUGAGGUGGGUGGGAGAUGGAGGUGCCGCUAACUUCCUCAUCCACAACAUCAGGCUUUCUGAGGCGGCCCUCCGCUCUCGCUCAAGCCACUGCAGCCUCGAGGAUCAAAUCUUCCUAGGGGAAAUGUCCACAAGCAGAGAAGGGAUGGCACGACCUGUGCGGAGGCAGUCGUCGUCAUCCUUGGCAUCCAGCUGAGCGCCUCGCCAGAGAGGCAACCUCGGGUGGGAGAAGGAACAACAUCACGUCGAGAAGGAGGGGCCAUCACACGAUGCGUUGUGGAUCACAAGGAUAAAUGUGACCAAAUUGUUCAUGGUAGGACAUGUUCAAAGUCAUGAUAAAAGCGACCAAAUUGUCAAAAACCGUGAUGUUCGCUUUGUGUUUAGGAGCACAAGAUCCAUGCAGGUGAGUCAUGCAAAGCUAAUACAAGAUGGUGCGCUCGAAAUGGAGGAUUUAAUUUGGUAUACGACUAUAUGUUAUAGAAGCUUGCCAAAAACAAGCACAAUAGCAGAAAUCAAAUGAAAAUUACUCUAGGUGGAAGAAGCUACUACUCCAGGCCUGACUGAAAGAAAGAAGUAUUUUAUACCUUAGUUGGAUUUAAUUACUACCAUUGAUAUCUUCUUUCACCGACUUGACAGGUUAUUUACGAUAUAAGCUGCCUCAUAUGAUUCAAAUUUACCGUUCUGCUAUAAAUUAUAUGUGCUGACGUUUUUAUG